rnacentral:rRNA from 1 species
AAUAAGCGGAGGAAAAGAAACUAACAAGGAUUCCCCUAGUAACUGCGAGUGAAGCGGGAAAAGCUCAAAUUUAAAAUCUGGUGGUCUUUGGCCAUCCGAGUUGUAAUUUAGAGAAGCGACUUCCGCGCUGGACCGUGCACAAGUCUCCUGGAAUGGAGCGUCAUAGAGGGUGAGAAUCCCGUCUUUGGCACGGAUGCACCAGGGCUUUUGUGAUGCGCUCUCGAAGAGUCGAGUUGUUUGGGAAUGCAGCUCAAAAUGGGUGGUGAACUCCAUCUAAAGCUAAAUAUUGGCGAGAGACCGAUAGCGAACAAGUACCGUGAGGGAAAGAUGAAAAGCACUUUGGAAAGAGAGUGAAACAGUACGUGAAAUUGUUGAAAGGGAAACGCUUGAAGUCAGUCGCGUCGGUCGAGACUCAGCCUUGCCUUGGCUUGGCGUACUUCUUGGCUGACGGGUCAGCAUCAAUUUUGCCCCUCGAAUAAUGGCAAGGGAAAUGUGACACCUUUUACAGGUGUGUUAUAGUCUCUUGUCGCAUGCGAGGGUCAGGAUUGAGGAACUCAGCACGCGCCUUUGGGUGUCGGGGCCUUGGCCCACGAAACGUGCUUAGGAUGUUGGCGUAAUGGCU